rnacentral:rRNA from 1 species
AACGAACGCUGGCGGCAUGCCUAACACAUGCAAGUCGAACGAGACCUUCGGGUCUAGUGGCGCACGGGCGCGUAACGCGUGGGAACCUGCCCUUAGGUUCGGAAUAACUCCCCGAAAGGGGUGCUAAUACCGGAUAAUGUCUUCGGACCAAAGAUUUAUCGCCUUUGGAUGGGCCCGCGUUGGAUUAGCUAGUUGGUAGGGUAAAAGCCUACCAAGGCGACGAUCCAUAGCUGGUCUGAGAGGAUGAUCAGCCACACUGGGACUGAGACACGGCCCAGACUCCUACGGGAGGCAGCAGUGGGGAAUAUUGGACAAUGGGCGAAAGCCUGAUCCAGCAAUGCCGCGUGAGUGAUGAAGGCCUUAGGGCUGUAAAGCUCUUUUACCCGGGAUGAUAAUGACAGUACCGGGAGAAUAAGCUCCGGCUAACUCCGUG